CACACACUCCAUGAACAUAUACAUACACACAAAUAUACAAUCCUAUAGACAUAUACUUAAAGAUACAUAUACAUCUUAAAAUUCUGAUCAAUUAAUUAAAUAGCUAGAGCCCUUUAGACUCAUAUAAAUUAAUAGUGUGGAUCCUUAUUGUUUAAAUUAUUUUGAUGUGGAUGCUUCCCCUGUUUUGCCAUUAAGAAUGGGACUAAUUUUUGUUUGGAAAUAUAUAUUUUUACCAUACUGAGGAACUUGGUGUCUGUUUUUAUGAAAAUUUUUUUUUGUUCUCAGAAAUCUGAAAAAUCUCAAAAGUACAAUGAAUAAUGAUGCAUGUUCAUACACUCACCAAUCAGAAUUGAAGAUUGUUAAAAUUUUCACCAAUUGAAAUAAAAGAAGUAAAGGAUUACGGCGAAUGAUAAAGUCCUCCACUGGCAGUAUUGUUCUUGCUCCAAACCCAGAGGCCACAGACAAAACCACAGUUCAUUUGGUGGCUGAAGCUUACUGAAAACUUCCUUUCGUCUUGAUGCAGCCAGCUUUUUGGAUUACAUGGCAAGGGUGGCCUGAGCAAAGCGAUGGGAAAGAGUUGUUGGUGGAACAGUUUGUCCUGAGAGUCCUCCCUGCAUGCACAAGAAUCCCCAUCACAGGCUCUCCACUGGGAAACCCCAUCUGGGACAAAGGGAAAGAGCUUGGUGCAAUGGAAGGAUAGCAAGGGGACCAGCAUGGCUAAAGCCCAGUAAGUGAAGGGGAGAGUAUUAGGGAAUCGUGGUAAAGAUGAGAGAAGGAGACAGCUUAAGGAAAAUUAUGUGGGCUGUGUAAAAAGCUUAGAUUCCACUCAAAGGCAGUGGGAAAACUUUGGAAGGUAAUUUGGGUGUGAAAAUACUCUCACCAGCUGCAGUGUGGAGAGUAGGAUGGAGGUAAGGCGAGGCAGAGAGCCCAGUUGGCCAUCAGUUGUAACAUUCCAGGCAAGAAAUGAUAGUAUCUUGAAUUUAAAAGGUAGUGGCAAAGGGGGUGAGCUAGGAGCUGAAUGUGGGGGGUAUUCUGGAGGUAGAGCCGAGGCUUCCUGAUAAAUUGGAUAUGGCAGAGUUAAGGAGUCUAGGUUUAGUAGUCAGGCAAAUGGCUAGGUUUGGUGGGAC
rnacentral:lncRNA from 1 species